rnacentral:rRNA from 1 species
GAUGAACGCUGGCGGCGUGCCUAAUACAUGCAAGUCGAGCGAACAGACGAGGAGCUUGCUCCUCUGACGUUAGCGGCGGACGGGUGAGUAACACGUGGAUAACCUACCUAUAAGACUGGAAUAACUUCGGGAAACCGGAGCUAAUACCGGAUAAUAUAUUGAACCGCAUGGUUCAAUAGUGAAAGACGGUUUUGCUGUCACUUAUAGAUGGAUCCGCGCAGCAUUAGCUAGUUGGUAAGGUAACGGCUUACCAAGGCAACGAUGCGUAGCCGACCUGAGAGGGUGAUCGGCCACACUGGAACUGAGACACGGUCCAGACUCCUACGGGAGGCAGCAGUAGGGAAUCUUCCGCAAUGGGCGAAAGCCUGACGGAGCAACGCCGCGUGAGUGAUGAAGGUCUUCGGAUCUUAAAACUCUGUUAUUAGGGAAGAACAAAUGUGUAAGUAACUAUGCACGUCUUGACGGUACCUAAUCAGAAAGCCACGGCUAACUACGUG